UAGUGUAUGCAAUGGUGUCAGCAUUUGGAU
rnacentral:piRNA from 1 species